rnacentral:lncRNA from 1 species
UGCAUAGCCUAAAAUUAAGAUCUGCUUCAGAGGAAAUUUUUCAUCUCAGUUAGAAGCAGGGAACUUUGGGAAACUGGAAUGUUAGUUAUUGAGUAUUGCUUAGUUUCUGUAAGAGAUGGAUGCUAGUUUCUGUAUGCAGCACUCAGUAGCUAAAGUCCAUUUUGAGAGGCGUAUGGCCUGUGACAAAAUGAGUUUCCAUGACUGUCAUCCAGAGCUCCCCACAGAAAGGAGAGCACACGUUACUUUAGGAGACAAUAAUGGCAAGCCCUGGGCUAGAAUUAAUCUAAGUUUACGUUGA